AUGCGAUUGAAGUUCAAACGGCGCCAAGUAGCCUUCAACACCACUUUGACUACCAAACAUUUUGAAGCCAACACAUGGAAAAUGAUGGAGCCCUGGCAGAACUGGCAGAAGGAUCACACACUCGAUAUGUUCAAGAUACCAGUGCACCAGAGUUAUUGUGAAUUGCUUCAUGAUGUAUUGGAUGGUCAGGGCACUCGGACUGCCUUUGAGAGACUCCAGGGAGGUCACCCUGCUCUGAGUUUGCAUGAUGAUGAUGUUGUUUACAUCAUGGCCAAGGCUAAAGAGAUGAACCGCAGGGCAGUUGUGUUUGCUGUGAACAUGAGGAACAAGGUUGUACAAGGAGUCGCUAAAUUUGAUGGAAAAAGAACAUAUGGCUUCACUCAAACCUACCUUCAAAGUGGGAUCUCCAGCUAUCUGACUUCUGAGUCGUCUGCCAGAGGGAAAGCUAGAGAUGGAAUUCCACAAGGAGGCGAUUGCAUAGCUUUGGAGCCUAUUGAUAACAUGUACAAAGGGAAGGCUGCUGAAUCAAGCAGGGAUCGAAUCACACAAGCAGGUGACAUAUCCAAAAGUAAUGCUGCCAAGUCAGGCUGGGUUCGAGUUUCAAGAGGACGCAAGCAGAAAGCUUGA
rnacentral:rRNA from 1 species